AUUGAACGCUGGCGGCAUGCCUUACACAUGCAAGUCGAACGGCAGCAUGGAGAGCUUGCUCUCUGAUGGCGAGUGGCGAACGGGUGAGUAAUGCAUCGGAACGUACCGUGUAAUGGGGGAUAACGUAGCGAAAGUUACGCUAAUACCGCAUACGCCCUGAGGGUGAAAGCAGGGGAUCGCAAGACCUUGCGUUAUACGAGCGGCCGAUGUCAGAUUAGCUAGUUGGUGGGGUAAGGGCUCACCAAGGCGACGAUCUGUAGCGGGUCUGAGAGGAUGAUCCGCCACACUGGGACUGAGACACGGCCCAGACUCCUACGGGAGGCAGCAGUGGGGAAUUUUGGACAAUGGGGGCAACCCUGAUCCAGCCAUGCCGCGUGAGUGAAGAAGGCCUUCGGGUUGUAAAGCUCUUUCGGCCGGGAAGAAAUCGCACAGGCUAAUACUCUGUGUGGAUGACGGUACCGGCAUAAGAAGCACCGGCUAACUACGUGCCAGCAGCCGCAGUAA
rnacentral:rRNA from 1 species